rnacentral:rRNA from 1 species
AACGAACGCUGGCGGCAGGCCUAACACAUGCAAGUCGAACGCUCCGCAAGGGGGAGUGGCGCACGGGUGAGUAACACGUGGGAACCUACCUUCUGGUACGGAACAACCAAGGGAAACUUUGGCUAAGACCGUAUACGACCUCCGGGUGAAAGAUUGAUCGCCGGAAGAGGGGCCCGCGUCCGAUUAGGGUAGUUGGUGAGGUAACGGCUCACCAAGCCUUCGAUCGGUAGCUGGUCUGAGAGGAUGACCAGCCACACUGGGACUGAGACACGGCCCAGACUCCUACGGGAGGCAGCAGUGGGGAAUAUUGGACAAUGGGCGCAAGCCUGAUCCAGCCAUGCCGCGUGAGUGAUG